rnacentral:ncRNA from 1 species
GGCCGGGUAGCGCGCAUUGAUACAAGACCCGGAAGGGAAAAGAUGCGGGCCGUCUACGAGCGGUGGUCAAGUACCCGGCCGCCCCAUG